rnacentral:rRNA from 1 species
UAACGAUACGGGACUCAUCCGAGGCCCCGUAAUCGGAAUGAGUACACUUUAAAUCCUUUAACGAGGACCCAUUGGAGGGCAAGUCUGGUGCCAGCAGCCGCGGUAAUUCCAGCUCCAAUAGCGUAUAUUAAAGUUGUUGCGGUUAAAAAGCUCGUAGUUGAAUCUGUGUGCCACGCUGUCGGUUCAUCGCUCGCGAUGUUUAACUGACAUGAUUGUGGGACGUCCUACCGGUGGGCUUAGCUCCUCACGGGGCGGUCCAGCUAAUAUCCCAUCGCGGUGCUCUUAAUCGAGUGUCGAGGUGGGCCGGUACGUUUACUUUGAACAAAUUAGAGUGCUCAAAGCAGGCUAUGUUCGCCUGAAUAUUUUUUGCAUGGAAUAAUGGAAUAGGACCUCGGUUCUAUUUUGUUGGUUUUCGGAACCCCGAGGUAAUGAUUAAUAGGGACAGAUGGGGGCAUUCGUAUUGCGACGUUAGAGGUGAAAUUCUUGGAUCGUCGCAAGACGGACAGAAGCGAAAGCAUUUGCCAAAAAUGUUUUCAUUAAUCAAGAACGAAAGUUAGAGGUUCGAAGGCGAUCAGAUACCGCCCUAGUUCUAACCAUAAACGAUGCCAGCUAGCGAUCCGCCGAAGUUCCUCCGAUGACUCGGCGGGCAGCUUCCGGGAAACCAAAGCUUUUGGGUUCCGGGGGAAGUAUGGUUGCAAAGCUGAAACUUAAAGGAAUUGACGGAAGGGCACCACCAGGAGUGGAGCCUGCGGCUUAAUUUGACUCAACAC